GGGUCGUUAGCUCAGCGGUAGAGCAGGAGACUCUUAAUCUCUUGGUCCAGGGUUCGAAUCCCUGACGGCCCA
rnacentral:tRNA from 2 species